rnacentral:lncRNA from 1 species
AUGAUUGGAUUGUUUCUGAGAUGUGCUGGAGAGCCGCUUUGGCUAAUUGCUUGCAGACUGCGAUCCAACCAGGCUUGCCAACCGUGGAGGCAGUAUGGAGGGGCUAAGAGUGCUACCACUCCUGUGCAUGAAACACGGGACAAAAGCCGACCACAGCAGAAGGCAGAACCAAGGAGUAGAGAGAAACUGACUCCUAAGAAUCCCCCCACUGUGAGCUCUGAAUUCAGCUGUGCCUUACCUUGCCUCCUGAACUUUCAAGGUUAGGUAAGCCAAUGAAUUGCUUUUUUGUUUAAACCAGUUUAGGCUAGGAUUUUGUUACAUGCCAAUUAAGGUGACCUAAUGAUAUAGAGCCUGGAGAAGGGAAUGGCAACCCACUCCAGUAUUCUUGCCUGGAAAAUUCCAUGGACAGAGGACUCUAGUGGGCUAGAGUCCAUGGGGUUGCAAAGAGUCACAUACAACUGAGCGACGG